UACGUAGGGUCCGAGCGUUGUCCGGAAUUACUGGGCGUAAAGAGCUCGUAGGUGGUUUGUCGCGUUGUUCGUGAAAACUCACAGCUUAACUGUGGGCGUGCGGGCGAUACGGGCAGACUUGAGUACUGCAGGGGAGACUGGAAUUCCUGGUGUAGCGGUGGAAUGCGCAGAUAUCGGGAGGAACACCGGUGGCGAAGGCGGUUCUCUGGGCCUUACCUGACGCUGAGGAGCGAAAGCGUGGGGAGCGAACAGG
rnacentral:rRNA from 1 species